AGCAUAUCAAUAAGCGGAGGAAAAGAAACCAACAGGGACUGCCUCAGUAACGGCGAGUGAAGCGGCAACAGCUCAGAUUUGGAAUCUGACCCUGGUAUCGGGGUCCGAGUUGUAGUCUGGAGAGGAUGCUUCAGGGGAGAGUUGGGUCCAAGUUCCUUGGAACAGGGCGUCGGAGAGGGUGAGAGUCCCGUCUGCGGCCUGAUCUCGCCCCCUAGGUGAAGCUCCCUCGACGAGUCGAGUUGUUUGGGAAUGCAGCUCAAACUAGGUGGUAAAUCUCAUCUAAAGCUAAAUAACCGCCAGAGACCGAUAGCGCACAAGUAGAGUGAUCGAAAGAUGAAAAGCACUUUGAAAAGAGAGUUAAACAGCACGUGAAAUUGUUGAAAGGGAAGCGCUCGCGAUCAGACUUGCCCGCGGUUCCUCAGCCGACGGUUCUCCGCCGGCGCACUGAGCCUCGGGCAGGCCAGCAUCGGUCCAGGUGGUGGAAGAAGGACCCUGGGAAUGUAGCUCCCUUUCGGGUGCGUUAUAGCCUAGGGUGCAACGUCGCCGCCAGGACCGAGGCCCGCGCUCCGGCAAGGAUGCUGGCGUAAUGGUCGCCAGCGACCCGUCUUGAAACACGGACCAAGGAGUCUAACGUCCGCGCGAGUGUUUGGGUGACAAACCCCAACGCGUAAUGAAAGUGAACGGAGGUGGGAACCCGCAUGGGUGCACCAUCGACCGAUCCUGAAGUCUUCUGAUGGAUUUGAGUACGAGCGUGGCUGUUGGGACCCGAAAGAUGGUGAACUAUGCCUGAAUAGGGUGAAGCCAGAGGAAACUCUGGUGGAGGCUCGCAGCGGUUCUGACGUGCAAAUCGAUCGUCAAAUUUGGGUAUAGGGGCGAAAGACUAAUCGAACCAUUGCUGCUAGGUGGUUAACAGGCGGGUGAGACAUCCUGGCCUAGUCCCUGCUCACAGGGGCGACACUGUCAAAUUGCGGGGACACCCUUAGAGCUAGACCCAUGACACGGUCCAAGAUUGGGCGAUCCGCAGCCAACCCCCAGGGGCCUUGGAUGCUCUGGGGAGGGGUUCACAGACUAGAUGGCAGUGGGCCGGCCCUUUUGGGGGCGGCCUAAGGUAUAGUCGGGCCGCCGGGAGACCGGUCGGGGGUUCAUGGUCCCCGCCCGUAGUGGGCGGCCCCAGGGCGCGCUGGCCCUCGGGCCGUGGCGGGUGCCACGUCCCUCCGGGGGGUUAACCGUACCGCGGGUGGUGGUAGCCCCAGGAAGAAUCGCUAGUAGCUGGUUCCUGCCGAAGUUUCCCUCAGGAUAGCAGUAACGUGUGGCAGUUUUAUGAGGUAAAGCGAAUGAUUAGAGGCCUUGGGGUUGAAACAACCUUAACCUAUUCUCAAACUUUGAAUAUGUAAGAAGUCCUUGUUGCUCAGUUGAACGUGGACAUUCGAAUGUACCGUUACUAGUGGGCCAUUUUUGGUAAGCAGAACUGGCGAUGCGGGAUGAACCGAACGCGGGGUUAAGGUGCCGGAAUGCACGCUCAUCAGACACCACAAAAGGUGUUGGUUCAUCUAGACAGCAGGACGGUGGCCAUGGAAGUCGGAACCCGCUAAGGAGUGUGUAACAACUCACCUGCCGAAUGAACUAGCCCUGAAAAUGGAUGGCGCUCAAGCGUGCUACCCAUACCCCGCCGCCAGGGUAGGAACGAUGCCCUAGCGAGUAGGCAGGCGUGGGGGUCCGUGACGAAGCCUCGGGAGUGAUCCUGGGUCGAACGGCCCCUAGUGCAGAUCUUGGUGGUAGUA
rnacentral:rRNA from 1 species